rnacentral:tRNA from 1 species
GCGGCCGUGGCUCAGCAUGGACAGAGCGUGGGUUCUAGGAGAAAACCCAUGGUCGCGGGUUCAAAUCCUGCCGGCCGCG